rnacentral:rRNA from 1 species
CCUACAGGAGGCAGCAGUGGGGAAUAUUGGACAAUGGGCGAAAGCCUGAUCCAGCCAUGCCGCGUGUGUGAAGAAGGCCUUCGGGUUGUAAAGCACUUUCAGUGGGGAAGAAAGCCUUGGGGCUAAUACCCUCGAGGAAGGACAUCACCCACAGAAGAAGCACCGGCUAACUCCGUGCCAGCAGCCGCGGUAAUACGGAGGGUGCGAGCGUUAAUCGGAAUUACUGGGCGUAAAGCGCGCGUAGGCGGUCUGAUAAGCCGGUUGUGAAAGCCCCGGGCUCAACCUGGGAACGGCAUCCGGAACUGUCAGGCUAGAGUGCAGGAGAGGAAGGUAGAAUUCCCGGUGUAGCGGUGAAAUGCGUAGAGAUCGGGAGGAAUACCAGUGGCGAAGGCGGCCUUCUGGACUGACACUGACGCUGAGGUGCGAAAGCGUGGGUAGCAAACAGGAUUAGAUACCCGGGUAGUC